ACUGAACCGAAAAAUGAACGUUCAUGUCUAAACAUAUUGGUGAACAAACAAACGGGUUAAUAAAUUGUCAAAAAAUUAGGAUUGUCCAAUUUCCCGAUUGAAUCACCCAAUAUUUUUAAAAUAUAAAAUAUUUACUUUUUUCCUGUUUUUUUCUUAAAAAAAUCCAAAAAUGUGAUUUUUAAUCAAAUUAUUCAAAAUUAUCCGAAAAGAAUUAAUCGAAAUUAGAACCGAAUUGAACUCAAAAUUUUAUCGGGUUCCUAACAUUGUUAUCCAUAUCAAACUAAAAAUAAUAAUAAUCAAACCGAAACCAAACCCAAACUCAUGAAUAAUUGAACGGUUCAUAUAUUUCUUGAACCAAAAAAUCAAAAACCACA
rnacentral:lncRNA from 1 species